rnacentral:rRNA from 1 species
UACGGAGGAUGCGAGCGUUAUCCGGAUUUAUUGGGUUUAAAGGGUGCGUAGGCGGGCUUUUAAGUCAGCGGUAAAAAUUCGGGGCUCAACCCCGUCCGGCCGUUGAAACUGGGGGUCUUGAGUGGGCGAGAAGAAGGCGGAAUGCGUGGUGUAGCGGUGAAAUGCAUAGAUAUCACGCAGAACCCCGAUUGCGAAGGCAGCCUUCCGGCGCCCUACUGACGCUGAGGCACGCAAGUGCGGGGAUCGAACAGG